AGUAAUACAUCGGAACGUGUCCAGUAGUGGGGGAUAGCCCGGCGAAAGCCGGAUUAAUACCGCAUAUGCUCUACGGAGGAAAGUGGGGGACUCGCAAGGGCCUCACGCUAUGGGAGCGGCCGAUGUCCGAUUAGCUUGUUGGCGGGGUAAUGGCCCACCAAGGCGACGAUCGGUAGCUGGUCUGAGAGGAUGAUCAGCCACACUGGGACUGAGACACGGCCCAG
rnacentral:rRNA from 1 species